UGCAUGGAAAUCCCAUCUGCUCUCUUUAUGCAUACUACCAGUGAAAUUCCAUGGGAAGGAAUAACCUAAGAAGAUAGAUUACUGAAACUAGUGAAAAUGUGACAAGUUAGAAAUGAGCAAGUUGCUCAAGUUUGCGAGCCUGGAAAAACUUGCAGCGUCCCUGUCUGCUUGAUUCAGUUUCUUCACUCUUCCUCCUUGAUGUUGUGAAACCAACAUUGCUUAACUUCAAUUUUGCCGCUUGCCAUGAC